GUUGGGUGUAGUUGGGUGCUCAUGUUAAUCACACUCUUACAUCCCCACUCACAUCAGCGCUGGAGUCACGCCGAGAGCUUCGAUGGGAGGAUGAAGACGAUGUCUGUGGUGGAUCACUGGCUGCUGUUUCUGCCUCUUCUUUGUGCUCCUGAGAUGGUCAUCUCACAAGGAAAAUGUUCCGCUCCCUCGGUUCUAUGCUGUGUGGGACAGAACAACUUCUGCUAUCGAGGCUGCUACUGUGACCAGUUCUGCAUUGAAAACAAAGACUGCUGUAGUGACUAUAUCCCGACCUGUCAACCAACCACUGCAGAAGCAGACAGUACCGCUUUACCCGCACCACAGACCACUGCAGACGCUGCUGUCACUACAGGUACCACGCUCGCAGGACCCGCCACACCAAGCCAAACCCCUGCACCGCCACCAAAGAGCAGCACUUACAGAGCAGAAGCAUUCAGUAGUGGUGGAACUGCAGAGUCCACUCUGUCCAGUACUACUUCCACCGGUCCGAAAGAAUCACCCCCUGCAGGACCUGAGCAAGUGCCAAUAAGAGUUUACAUACAGGCCAAGGUGGCCCAGAUGCCUGAGCAUGCAGCUCUCAACACACUACAGAACUUUGUUAGGCAUGUGGAGUCCAAUUUACAGAGAAAUGUCUGCAGUGAUUGUACUGUGACAAUUCUAAGAAUCGAGAAACUCUGAUUCCCAAUGGAACACAUGACGUAAUUCGACCAUGAACACAUUCAAUUUACCUGUCAAAACUUUGUAGAAACCAAUGUAGUAAACUUUGUGUUUCUGUUUUUGUGGUCAAACUUUGCGUGAGAUUUUCUUCUCUGGAGGGUGUAUUGUAUCAAUCCAUUUGUGUCAACUGAUCUGACUUAAAUGUUUGAUUAACACUUAAUUAAUUUAUCUUUCUUCAAACAAAUUAAUGUUACACAAUACUGUUCAAUAAAUAAUUCGUAUUUUCUUUGGAUUAGAAGAUU
rnacentral:lncRNA from 1 species